rnacentral:rRNA from 1 species
AGAGUUUGAUCAUGGCUCAGAACAAACGCUGGCGGCGUGUCUUAAGCAUGCAAGUCGAGCGGCAGGCGCAGCAAUGCGCUGAGAGCGGCGGACUGGUGAGUAACGCGUGGGUAAUCUACCUUUGGCAUGGGGAUAGCCACUAGAAAUAGUGGGUAAUACCGAAUACGUUCCCUGGGGGGAGGUUUCAGGGAAGAAAGGGUGCUACGGCACCGGCCGGAGAUGAGCUCGCGUCCCAUUAGCUUGUUGGUGAGGUAACGGCCCACCAAGGCGAUGAUGGGUAGCCGGCCUGAGAGGGUGUACGGCCACACUGGGACUGAGACACGGCCCAGACUCCUACGGGAGGCAGCAGCUAAGAAUAUUCCGCAAUGGACGAAAGUCUGACGGAGCGACGCCGCGUGGAUGAUGAAGGCCGAAAGGUUGUAAAGUCCUUUUGCUGGGGAAGAAUAAGUGUGGGAGGGAAUGCCCGCAUGAUGACAUGAACCGGCGAAUAAGCCCCGGCUAACUACGUGCCAGCAGCCGCGGUAACACGUAGGGGGCGAGCGUUGUUCGGAAUUACUGGGCGUAAAGGGCAUGUAGGCGGUCUGGUAAGCCUGGCGUGAAAGGCCACAGCUCAACUGUGGGAUUGCGUUGGGAACUGCUGGGCUUGAGUUAUGGAGAGGGAG